rnacentral:lncRNA from 1 species
AUGGAUUCUCAGGCUCUAGUUGCUCCCCAGAAAAGCCUCAGCAAGUCAUUUUACCCUUUGCCUCUCACUCUACAUGGGUCUUUUCGAGAAUAUCUUAAUGAAAUAUUUCCUCAUCUCUGCGGACAAAGAGAUUUUUAUUGUGGGGGUGUCCCAUUAUUUUCCAUCUCAGGGACUCCUUCUUCAUUGUUUCCUUUUCUCUUCUGCUUCUCUUUCAUGGCUGCGCGUUUCUUCUUCCAGUGUUGCGGGCUAGGUCAGCAGCUGCAGGAGAACUUGAUUAGUGCCUUGCCUCAGUGCAGAUGCAUUUCCCUGACAGCAUCGAUCCUGGGUGCUUUCGCUUUGCAGGCAGCUCCACAGAGGAGGAGCUUGUACUGCAAAGGAGGUGGACUGUUGUCUGUUCAAGGCUCCAGAUGUGACCAGCCACUGCAAAAUGGUAAGUUGUUUAUCAGCAUUCUACACUGGGAACUGGCACCUGUAAUUUUACUCUUAUUUUGCAUCAGCAUUAAUAAAACACUAAAAAAUGACCAAGCGAAGGUUUUGUGUAAUCACACACACACCUUCAGGGUGAGUUGCCCUGUCGGCUGUCUGUCGUCCUUAAGGUGCCAGCUACAGCAAGCAGCUUCCUUCUCUGUUGUCUGCGUAGCUGCUAUGAGCCUCCUUGGACAGGGAGUUCUGCUGAUAGCUGGACCUGGAAAAUAAUGGUGAAAUGUUGUUCUGGCAGCUUUUAAAGAAUCGAUUGUUGAUCCAUUUUGAUAAUGCAAAUACAAUCUUUUUCUUUCAUUCUUUUCCCUUCUUUUCUUUCUUCCCCCUUAUUCCUUGUUAAUAGUUGUCUGCAGCAAAAAAAAAAAAAAAAAAAAAAAAAAAAAAAAAAAAAAGCUCCUUGUCCACCACAGUCUGGAGUGAAGAUUUAAGAAAUAAACAUAUUUGAAUCAUGUGACA